CGUACACUCCUGCGGGAGGCAGCAGUAGGGAAUCUUCGGCAAUGGGGGCAACCCUGACCGAGCAACGCCGCGUGAGUGAAGAAGGUUUUCGGAUCGUAAAGCUCUGUUGUAAGUCAAGAACGAGUGUGAGAGUGGAAAGUUCACACUGUGACGGUAGCUUACCAGAAAGGGACGGCUAACUACGUGCCAGCAGCCGCGGUAAUACGUAGGUCCCGAGCGUUGUCCGGAUUUAUUGGGCGUAAAGCGAGCGCAGGCGGUUUGAUAAGUCUGAAGUUAAAGGCUGUGGCUCAACCAUAGUUCGCUUUGGAAACUGUCAAACUUGAGUGCAGAAGGGGAGAGUGGAAUUCCAUGUGUAGCGGUGAAAUGCGUAGAUAUAUGGAGGAACACCGGUGGCGAAAGCGGCUCUCUGGUCUGUAACUGACGCUGAGGCUCGAAAGCGUGGGGAGCGAACAGGAUUAGAAACCCCAGUAGUCCC
rnacentral:rRNA from 1 species